rnacentral:rRNA from 1 species
GUGUCAGCCGCCGUGGUAAUACGAAGGGGGCUAGCGUUGCUCGGAAUCACUGGGCGUAAAGGGCGCGUAGGCGGCGUUUUAAGUCGGGGGUGAAAGCCUGUGGCUCAACCACAGAAUGGCCUUCGAUACUGGGACGCUUGAGUAUGGUAGAGGUUGGUGGAACUGCGAGUGUAGAGGUGAAAUUCGUAGAUAUUCGCAAGAACACCGGUGGCGAAGGCGGCCAACUGGACCAUUACUGACGCUGAGGCGCGAAAGCGUGGGAGCAAACAGGAUUAGAUACCCUCGUAGUCC